rnacentral:rRNA from 1 species
GACGCUGGCGGCGUGCUUAACACAUGCAAGUCGAACGAGAAUCUGUGGAAAGAGGAUUCGUCCAAUUGAAGCAGAGGACAGUGGCGGACGGGUGAGUAACGCGUGAGGAACCUGCCUUUCAGAGGGGGACAACAGUUGGAAACGACUGCUAAUACCGCAUAACAUAUAGAUGUCGCAUGGCAUUUAUAUCAAAGAUUUAUCGCUGAAAGAUGGCCUCGCGUCUGAUUAGCUAGUCGGUGAGGUAACGGCCCACCAAGGCGACGAUCAGUAGCCGGACUGAGAGGUUGAACGGCCACAUUGGGACUGAGACACGGCCCAGACUCCUACGGGAGGCAGCAGUGGGGAAUAUUGCACAAUGGGGGAAACCCUGAUGCAGCGACGCCGCGUGGAGGAAGAAGGUCUUCGGAUUGUAAACUCCUGUUGUUGAGGAAGAUAAUGACGGUACUCAACAAGGAAGUGACGGCUAACUACGUG